UGAACGCUGGCGGCAGGCCUAACACAUGCAAGUCGAGCGGAUGAUGGGAGCUUGCUCCCGGAUUCAGCGGCGGACGGGUGAGUAAUGCCUAGGAAUCUGCCUGGUAGUGGGGGACAACGUUUCGAAAGGAACGCUAAUACCGCAUACGUCCUACGGGAGAAAGCAGGGGACCUUCGGGCCUUGCGCUAUCAGAUGAGCCUAGGUCGGAUUAGCUAGUUGGUGGGGUAAAGGCCUACCAAGGCGACGAUCCGUAACUGGUCUGAGAGGAUGAUCAGUCACACUGGAACUGAGACACGGUCCAGACUCCUACGGGAGGCAGCAGUGGGGAAUAUUGGACAAUGGGCGAAAGCCUGAUCCAGCCAUGCCGCGUGUGUGAAGAAGGUCUUCGGAUUGUAAAGCACUUUAAGUUGGGAGGAAGGGCAGUAAGUUAAUACCUUGCUGUUUUGACGUUACCAACAGAAUAAGCACCGGCUAACUUCGUGCCAGCAGCCGCGGUAAUACGAAGGGUGCAAGCGUUAAUCGGAAUUACUGGGCGUAAAGCGCGCGUAGGUGGUUUGGUAAGAUGGAUGUGAAAUCCCCGGCUCAACCUGGGAACUGCAUCCAUAACUGCCUGACUAGAGUACGGUAGAAGGUUGGUGGAAUUUCCUGUGUAGCGGUGAA
rnacentral:rRNA from 1 species